rnacentral:pre_miRNA from 1 species
UCAUGGAUCUCUUGGUGGGUCAAGUUUAGGAAUAUACCAACCUGGAGGACUCCAAGCUGU